rnacentral:sRNA from 1 species
GUCAACCACCCAUCACUUUCCUUCGGGUAAGUGAGGGCUUGUAAAAGCCUAGUUGACCAGACUCAGUUCUUAACUGAACUACGUUAGAGGUAAGAGUUAAAGACCUACCAGGGGAUGCGUAGCUAGUUCCCUGCUCUAGAACUUCAAAGUUAAACAGGCUUAAGGGUUAAACCAGUGCUUUUAAGAUAGUUACCGACCUCUAACAUUGUCAAAGCUAACAUUACCCCAGAAAUGGG